AGAAUCAACGCUGGCGGCGUGCCUAACACAUGCAAGUCGAACGAGAAAGUGGAGCAAUCCAUUAGUAAAGUGGCGCACGGGUGAGUAACACGUGACUGACCUACCCUUGAGUGGGGGAUAACCUAGGGAAACCUGGGCUAAUACCGCAUAAUACCUACGGGUCAAAGCAGCAAUGCGCUGAAAGAGGGGGUCGCGGUCGAUUAGUUAGUUGGCAGGGUAAUGGCCUACCAAGACUGUGAUCGAUA
rnacentral:rRNA from 1 species